GAUGAAGAACGCAGCGAAAUGCGAUAAGUAAUGUGAAUUGCAGAAUUCAGUGAAUCAUCGAAUCUUUGAACGCACAUUGCGCCCGUCAGUAUUCUGGCGGGCAUGCCUGUUCGAGCGUCAUUACGCCCCUCAAGUCCCCUGUGGACUUGGUGUUGGGGAUCGGCGAGGCUGGUUUCCAGCACAGCCGUCCCUUAAAUUAAUUGGCGGUCUCGCCGUGGCCCUCCUCUGCGCAGUAGUAAAACACUCGCAACAGGAGCCCGGCGCGGUCCACUGCCGUAAAACCCCCCAACUUUUUAUAGUUGACCUCGAAUCAGGUAGGACUACCCGCUGAACUUAAGCAUAUCAAUAAGCGGAGGA
rnacentral:misc_RNA from 1 species